GAAAAAUUUAAAAAUAUAAAGACUCAGUACAUCGAUUCAUCCUAAACCAUAUUCAUACAAUCUUAUAAUUUUCACUAAAUUUAUAUUAUUAGUUUAUCAUAUAAUCAUAUGAAUAAUACAAAUUAUGAUUAGUUCACAAUCUAAAUGUAUUCUUUAUUUAUAGAAAUCAAUUCCUCCACAAAUAAAUUAAGCAAUAGUCACUCCAAGAAAAAAGCUAAUACACCAUCAUUCAGUUUAUACACUUCACACUUCUGUAUGUGAUUUUUUUGUUUAUGUUCUUAUCUAUCUCUAAUGAAGACAAAAACUUAGCUAUUUAUAAAGUCAUAAUACGUUUUGAAUAAUAGUUGCAUCACUUCAUAUAUAUAUAUAUAACUAUUAAGAGAGUUGCGUUUCUUCAUUUAGUUAUAUCUUUU
rnacentral:misc_RNA from 1 species